rnacentral:rRNA from 1 species
CCUGUGGGAAGCAGGAGGGACCACCCUCCAAGGCUAAAUACUACCUAGUGACCGAUAGCGUAUAGUACCGUGAGGGAAAGGUGAAAAGAACCCCGGGAGGGGAGUGAAAUAGAACCUGAAACCCUGCACUUACAAGCUGUGGAAGCACAUUUCUUGUGUGACCGCGUACUUUUUGUAGAACGGGCCAACGAGUUACGUUAAGUAGCAAGGUUAAGCACUUAAGGUGUGGAGCCGUAGCGAAAGCGAGUUUUAACUGAGCGUUCAGUUACUUGACGUAGACCCGAAACCGGGCGACCUACCCAUGAGCAGGAUGAAGCGAAAGUAAAAUUUCGUGGAGGUCCGAACCCACGAGCGUUGAAAAGCUCGGGGAUGACUUGUGGGUAGCGGUGAAAUUCCAAUCGAGCCCGGAGAUAGCUGGUUCUCCCCGAAAUAGCUUUAGGGCUAGCCUCAAGGUGAGAGAUACGGAGGUAGAGCACUGAAUGUCCUAGGGGGUAUUGCACCUACCGAAGACUAUCAAACUCCGAAUGCCGUCAUCUUAUACUUGGGAGUCAGACUGUGGGUGAUAAGAUUCAUAGUCGAAAGGGCAACAGCCCAGAUCGUCAGCUAAGGUCCCUAAAUGUAAGUUAAGUGGUAAAGGAUGUGGGAUUGCACAGACAACCAGGAUGUUGGCUUAGAAGCAGCCACUCAUUCAAAGAGUGCGUAAUAGCUCACUGGUCGAGUGAUCCUGCGCCGAAGAUUUCCGGGGCUAAAACUUACUACCGAAGCUACGGCAUCAGUAAUGAUGGGUAGGGGAGCUUCCCAUACGGGUUGAAGCAUGACCGUAAGGACAUGUGGACAGUAUGGGAGUGAGAAUGUUGGCAUGAGUAGCGAGAUGUGGGUGAGAAUCCCACAGGCCGUAAACCCAAGGUUUCCAGGGGAAGGUUCGUCCGCCCUGGGUUAGUCGGGACCUAAGCUGAGGCCGAAAGGCGUAGGUGAUGGACAACAGGUUGAUAUUCCUGUAC